rnacentral:rRNA from 1 species
GUGGCGAACGGGUGAGUAACACGUGAGCAACCUGCCCCUGACUCUGGGAUAAGCGCUGGAAACGGCGUCUAAUACUGGAUAUGUGACGUGACCGCAUGGUCUGCGUCUGGAAAGAAUUUCGGUUGGGGAUGGGCUCGCGGCCUAUCAGCUUGUUGGUGAGGUAAUGGCUCACCAAGGCGUCGACGGGUAGCCGGCCUGAGAGGGUGACCGGCCACACUGGGACUGAGACACGGCCCAGACUCCUACGGGAGGCAGCAGUGGGGAAUAUUGCACAAUGGGCGCAAGCCUGAUGCAGCAACGCCGCGUGAGGGAUGACGGCCUUCGGGUUGUAAACCUCUUUUAGCAGGGAAGAAGCGAAAGUGACGGUACCUGCAGAAAAAGCGCCGGCUAACUACGUGCCAGCAGCCGCGGUAAUACGUAGGGCGCAAGCGUUAUCCGGAAUUAUUGGGCGUAAAGAGCUCGUAGGCGGUUUGUCGCGUCUGCUGUGAAAUCCGGAGGCUCAACCUCCGGCCUGCAGUGGGUACGGGCAGACUAGAGUGCGGUAGGGGAGAUUGGAAUUCCUGGUGUAGCGGUGGAAUGCGCAGAUAUCAGGAGGAACACCGAUGGCGAAGGCAGAUCUCUGGGCCGUAACUGACGCUGAGGAGCGAAAGGGUGGGGAGCAAACAGGCUUAGAUACCCUGGUAGUCCACCCCGUAAACGUUGGGAACUAGUUGUGGGGUCCAUUCCACGGAUUCCGUGACGCAGCUAACGCA